rnacentral:rRNA from 1 species
CAAAGCACUUUGAAGAGAGAGUUAAAGAGGACGUGAAACCGGUAGGAUGGAAACGGAUAGAGCCAGCGAAGUCGCUCGUAUUCAGCCAAAGGCCGGUGGCAUCGGUGGGUCGGGUUGCUAAUCACGCCUGGCCAGCCUUUUGUCCACCGGUUGAGGUGCAUUUGCGGGCGUUUGCGCUGAGACUUGCGAGUCAGCUUCUGGACCCGGGCCUAGAGGCCGUCCUCUGGGCGGAACCUUGGCACGGCGACGGUUGUUUGGCCUGCUCGUACCACGGCUUGGCCUACGGACCUGGGCGGCUGGUGUCGUCUGCUUGUGGUGGCAUCGCAUGCGAUGACCCACCUGUGGGCGGCUCAGUCGUUUGGCGUUCCCAAGUCGGCUCUCGGUGUAAAAGCUGGUCACCUAUCCGACCCGUCUUGAAACACGGACCAAGGAGUUUAGCGUAUGCGCGAGCCAUUGGGUGUUCAAAACUCACAGGCACAAUGAAAGUGAAGGCCCAGCCGCUGGGCUGACAUGCGAGUUGGCGGCUCACGGGCCGUCGAUGCAGCAUGGUCCCAUUUCG